AGUGGAGUGAGACCUCGAGUUCGG
rnacentral:miRNA from 1 species